rnacentral:rRNA from 1 species
UGAGUACACGUAUCCAACCUGCCGUCUACUCUUGGACAGCCUUCUGAAAGGAAGAUUAAUACAAGAUGGCAUCAUGAGUCCACAUGUUCACAUGAUUAAAGGUAUUCCGGUAGACGAUGGGGAUGCGUUCCAUUAGAUAGUAGGCGGGGUAACGGCCCACCUAGUCUACGAUGGAUAGGGGUUCUGAGAGGAAGGUCCCCCACAUUGGAACUGAGACACGGUCCAA